GCAGGCUUAGCUCAUCCGGUAGAGUGCCACCUUCCCAAGGUGGAUGCGGCGGGUUCGAGUCCCGUAGCCUGCUCCA
rnacentral:tRNA from 1 species